GAAGCGGCUUAAGAAGCAUAUAAAUGGACAAGAAAAAUAAGGUGAGGAGCAAAUUUGUAUUCAAUGGACAAGAACAUAUGAAUAGUUAAAACCAAGAAUAUAUACUACACUUGUAACUUAUAUGAAUGCUAGCUUAUGCAAUUUUUCCAUGGAUAAUGAAUCAGUAGAGGUUAAUUCUGCAUGGUUGACAUAGGCUUCCUAGCUCAUGCAGGCUUUAUGGUCCUCACAAUUGGUCUAUUGUGUUGCAAAGUUUGGUACAGAUCAGUGCCACUGGCACGUACUAUUAUUAAUAGCAAGGAUUGGCCUAAUCUCUUUUGCUGUUUAUAUCUCUUGGUAUAUAUCGUAUCUUUUUUAUCAUCUAAUAAAAGAAAUCAGACCCCAAAAACUUCUAGUAGCGUUUGCUCUUUAAAGUUUAAACAAACUAUCGAAAAAAAAAAUGCCUAACAAAUCCAAUAAUACAAAUUCGUGACGAUUGCAAGAAAGUCGAUUGCAACAUCAUAAGGAUAAAGUCGAUUGCAAGACUCAUGUUAUUACAAGCCAAACUUCAAAUUAAUUAUCAGUAACAAAAAAAACACAUGCAUAUAUGGUUUAUUGCAUUGCAAGUUCCAGAAGAGAUCGAUCGAUGACGUCCGUCCAGCUUUAUUCGACUCUCAGUUGCCAUCGAACGGCGGAUUCCGAUAUACCGGAGAUUCCUCUCCCGAGCAGUCUCGGUGGUCCGCCUGCUAGAUCGUUUACUGUUGCUGCCGCUGCAGCAAGGCCAGCAACUGCACGGCAACAUAUAAGAUCGAAUGCAUAAUGCUCUAGCUAAUCAUGGAACAUCUCUGUCUGAGCAGGUAUGAUGGGAUAUGCCUCCUCUAUUUAUCUUGUCUUAUUAUCAGCGGGAUCUUUUGGGUAUGCCAAAUUUUAGGUUUCGGUAAUUCAUUUGUUUUCCUAUAUUGUUUUUCUCUCUUGGUAUUAGACGUUUUUUAUUUUAUAUGGCUGGUAUUGGCCUAGUCCUCCGGCUUAUUGUAUUUUUUUUCUUAUUUUUUCAAUAAAUUUUCGUAGAGGGACGAUGUUUGUCUCUCUACGCUUACCCAAAAAAAAAAAAAAAAAAGAGAUCGAAUGCACUUGGAAUAACUGAAGUCGAAUUCACAAGAAAAAACGUUACUCACAUUGACAAGAGAGCAGUUGCAACAAAAACCGCGAUGACUUCUACGAUGCAGCUAGUCAUAUCGAUCUGAUUGAUCUCUAGCUAGCUCUGUUUCUUAAUCACUGAAACUAGCUAAUGCAAUAUAUAUCUGCCUCCAAUAUUGUACACGAUUUCUAAAUGGAUAUAUUUAUAGCAAGGUUCUCGACCUUUAAUUAACAGAUAUAAGAAGACUAAGAGAGAGGGAUCGGAUCGAAGUCGUCGGUCGACUAGUUAUUAAGCUACGAAUUCUUUAAUUCAGAAUUUCCCGAUCCAUGAUCCAUCUACUAUUCUUAUUAGAACCAAAUGUUCGAACAUAAUUAGACCUAAUAUCCAACCCCAUAUAUCCCUCUUUCGAUCUAUGCAGUUAUGUGCUUAU
rnacentral:lncRNA from 1 species